rnacentral:rRNA from 1 species
AUGGAGUCCUCGUCGCCGCACUCGCCGCCGUCGCUGCGCCACAAGCUGCGGACCACCGUGUGCGGCUGCUUCGGCUCGCCGUCGUCACCCGGCAGCAGCGGGGAGAGGCCGCAAAGUGGCGGCAGGGCCAAGUGGAGAAGGCGCGUGGCGGCCGCGGGAGAAUUUAGGUACGACCCGCUCAGCUACGCGCUCAACUUCGACGACGGCGACACCGACGCGGACGACAACGCCUUCCGGCACAGAAACUUCAGCUCGCGCCUGCCGCCUUCGCCGGCGCCGGCCUCCCGCGCCGUCGCCAUCGCCUGA